rnacentral:rRNA from 1 species
CAUGUAGGCGGCAUGACAAGUCUGGUGUGAAGUAUCUCGGCUCAACCGAGAAAACGCACUGGAAACUGUCAAGCUUGAGUAUCGGAGGGGAAGCUAGAAUUCCUGGUGUAGGGGUGAAAUCUGUAGAUAUCAGGAAGAAUACCGGUGGCGAAGGCGAGCUUCUGGCCAGAUACUGACGCUGAGAUGCGAAAGCGUGGGGAGCGAACAGGAUUAGAUACCCUGGUAGUCC